rnacentral:rRNA from 2 species
UACAGAGGUCCCAAGCGUUGUUCGGAUUCACUGGGCGUAAAGGGUGCGCAGGUGGUUUGGCAAGUUUGACGUGAAAGCCCCGGGCUUAACCCGGGAAUGGCGUUGAAAACUGCUUGAACUGGAGGAUUGGAGGGGGGACUGGAAUUCUUGGUGUAGCAGUGAAAUGCGUAGAUAUCAAGAGGAACACCAGUGGCGAAGGCGAGUCCCUGGACAAUACCUGACACUGAGGCACGAAAGCCAAGGGAGCAAACAGG